AUUUCCAUUUAUUAUUAUUAUCAUUAUUCCAUUUUACAGAUGAGAAUUUUGGGGUACAGAUUUAAGUAAGUUUCCUCCAAUCCAGUACACAGUACUAAGUAGAGCCUAUAUUUGAACAAGUGUAGUCUGGCCAGGAAAAAAGCUUCCACUCAACCCCUUGCAGGUCAAGAUCAGCCUUGUUCUGCAGGGAUGCAUUUAGCACUUACUACCUGGAAGUUUCAGUUAACAUUUUAAACUUAUUUGUGUGUUCAUGGAUAUUUUAUAAGCAUUGAAAGAGUAGAGACCCUUCAGGCAAGCAAAAUAACAAAAUAGGCACUUAGAAUUUACAGAGGAGUUUAGCCAAUGCCCUUAGGGUUAGAAAUCUCUUAGGCACCUCAAUCCGCAACAACUCAUAGGCUAAUCCUAAAUGGACCCAAAACAAUGUAGUCAGGUUUCCCAGUGCCAUAUGGUAGAAGAAAGAACACUGGACUAGACUUGGAAGACUUUGUCUUAAUUCUGGCUCUUUCUCUUUUUCUAGUAUGAAAUUGGGGAAUUGAAAGCCAGUCACUCUUUCUACACCUUGGAUUUUACAUCUGGAAAACAGUGAACCUAAUACCUGAUGCCUUACCUCGUACUGUUUGAGUAUAAAAUUAUACAGUGCAUGGAAGAGGUAUACAAACUUUAGAGCACUAAAAAAGACAAUCAUUCAUUGGGUCAGUGUGAAGAAGAAAGCAAAUGUCUGCAGAAGAGUAUUUGGGAAUCAGUAAAGCAACUAUGGUUUCCUGAGAGACAGAUCCCAGAAAGAAACAGCUCCAGGAAACCAGGAAUCCACCAUUGGUGAGUCACCAUCCAGUUACACUGU
rnacentral:lncRNA from 1 species